UGUUACUGUAGGAAGCACUCACUGGGCAGGGACAGAAGCUGCAUGCAGCUGCUCCAUUUUUAAGGACUGCUUCACCCACUUUGGCCAGGCCGUCUCCAGAGAAGGAGAAGAACAGCAUGUUUGACAGGUAAAGACUUGACAUCCCACUGAGCUGAGAGGAAGAUGAUUGAUUACUUGUGGUCAUCAUGGGGGAUCUCCUAUCUCCCUUCCAAACAGUUCAAUAUUUAAUCUGUGGAUUUGUAAGUUUGCCUCACUCGGGGGAAACAGAGGGGCAGGAAGGCAAGGAUUUUUUUACACUGGGAACUCAAACUUUAUCAUUGCCCUCCUGACACACCACAAGGAAAAGGGUGGUUCAGCUCUGGAUUUGUGCCUCCUUACCUGCUUGAUCUAAAUAGGCAGGGAAAUUCAGAAGUGCAGGUGAUGUUGCGCUGUCAGGGGCUGGCUGGGCACAGAGGAAUGGAGGGAGGAACUAGCUGGGGAACUGUGGCGAUCACACAGGGUCCUCGGGUGUUUAACGGUCUAUUGAUCCCUGUGCCACCACUGUGCUCGCUUCCCCACUGCCACCAACCAGUUACUCUCUGGUAAAACACUGAGUCCAGUCAGUUGUUAAAAGUGAACCAAGAAAAUAACAAACCCAAGUUGAUUUUACAAACAUUAACAAGUUUAUGGUUUCUCAGAUAAUAUUCCUGUCAGUAUCUUAACUUUAGUUUCUUUACCGGCCUAUACCUUCCUAAUACCUUCUGACUGAUUAUCUCAACUGUUUGACUGACUCCUCUUAACAAAUUUUCUCACUCUCUCACAUCAGACUAGCCCAACCCACAGACUUAUCUUCUCUGUCUCUUCUAACUCCAGACUGUCUUCUCAACAACUCUAACUCUAACUCCCUAAAAAACCUCUGUGCUUAAACCCUAUACAGUGGUACCUCAGGUUAAGUACUUAAUUCGUUCUGGAGGUCCGUUCUUAACCUGAAACUGUUCUUAACCUGAAGCACCACUUUAGCUAAUGGGGCCUCCUGCUGUCGCCGCACCGCUGCUCCACGAUUUCUGUUCUCAUCCUGAAGCAAAGUUCUUAACCCGAGGUACUAUUUCUGGGUUAGCAGAGUCUGUAACCUGAAACGUAUGUAACCUGAAGCGUAUGUGUCAGGGAACUGACAUCGGAGCUAGAGGUGGAGGGAAGGCUCUCCAAUGAUGCUGGAGAAGGGCCCAGCAGGGAGAGAGGCAGCUCAGCAGAUGGGGAAGCAAUUCAGUGCAACACCAGGAGUAAGGAGGGGCAGAUGGGGGAAUCGGCGAGAGGGCUCCCAGACUCUUCACCGGACACCAGCGGGGAGAGCACUGGUCCUCCGCUACCCACGCCCUCCCUGUGCAGAAGACUUCCGGGCAGAGAAAGUAGGAGGAGACUGGGUGUCAAACAACUUUUAUGUUGGAAAAGGUUUAAGAAACGCCCACUGAAGGAUUCUGCUAGCGACUGAGGCAGCCACGAAUUGAAGGGCUGUCCAGACAGAAAGGUUUAACAAGGCAACAUAGCCAGGAGAGGCGGCAACUUACGCACGAGCAACCCCAUACCAUUAUAGUAUGUAACCCGAGGUACCACUGUACACAGUUAACUCUGCCCCCUGGGUUCCCAUUACAGUGGUGCCUCGCAAGACGAAAUUAAUUCGUUCCGCGAGUUUUUUCGUCUAGCGAAUUUUUCGUCUUGCGAAGCACGAAAUCCCAUAGGAAUGCAUUGAAAUUCAAUUAAUGCGUUCCUAUGGUCAAAAAAAGUCCAAACAAAGCCAAAUUUGGUACAACAAGAGUUUAUUAAGUGCUCUUUAAAGUCACACAUACUGUAAAGAGCAUUUCAAAAAUUGAAGGAACAAUAAAUUCAAAAAUUGAAGGAACAAUAAAAAUCAGAAAAAUUCAGAAAAAAACCACACAAGCUUCCAGAUUCUUGCAAACCCCUCCUCAACUGUUCCCCCAGCCACCCACCACACAGAAAUUCAAACCCAGAAUUUUUUUAAAAAAACAGCAGAGCGGCCCAAUGGUCACAAAAAAUCAUAAAAAUGCAGAAAAAAAACAAGCUUUCAGAUUCUUGCAAACCCCUCCCCAACACCAAGUCCUUGAAUUCCAAACACCCCAACCCAAAAUCCAAAAACCCCAAAAAAAGUUUUAAAAGUUUAACUUACCAAAUGGCUGCAAAAGAAGUUUUGGAAAAGCUUCAAAAAUCGCCAGAGUCUUCAAAAACCUCAAAAAAGGCUACCACACUGCGUUCUAUGAGUUGCUCCUCGAAGUCAAGUCGCAACUGCACCUCUUCAAGCAAUGCACCUUGGGUUUUAACGGUUUACGAAAAAGGAAACAAACUUGCAAGACGUUUUCGUCUUGCGAAGCAGCUCAAAAACCGCAAAACCCUUUCGUCUAGCGGGUUUUUCGUCUUGUGAGGCAUUCGUCUUGCGGGGCACCACUGUAGGUAGUCAUUUUACAAUUGCUUAACCCUUUCCCUAUGAACCCAGUAUGAUGUCACACACAUAUGAGGGCAAACGCCACAGGAACAUCCCAAGGGAAGAAGGCUCAGAGCCCAGGGAGUGGUGGUGGGAUGACGAUGCGUGGUCAGAGGGAGAAGACUGCGGGGAGAAGGUUUCGGAAGCUGGACCUGAGGAGGAGAAAGUGGGCAAACAGUUCCAUCUACUGGACUGCAGUAGGCAGCUAGGGGCUGGCUGAGGCCAGACUGAGCUUGGUGGGGCAGAGCCCCAUUGCCCUAAUGGACCAGCCUCCGUUGGGUGUUGGAGACUGUGGAAGUGCAUGGGGGACGUGCGAUGUUGGCCUCACCAGCUGUCAAGCCAGAGGUACCAGACCUCCUACUCAGAAUUAUAGAACUGUCAAGUUGGAAGGGAUCUAGGCCAACUCCCUGCAAUGCAGGAAUCUCAACUAAAGCAUCCGUGACAAAUGGCUCUGGGGUGGGGGUGAGACGCACAGGAGGUUUGCGUUUUCCUUCUUCCAGCAUGUAAGGGCAACAAAUCCUGACACCUACUAUUAUUUUAUGUUUUUGUUUAUUUUAUUUUAUUUUUAAAACAAACAAAAAAAUUACAAACCUCAAAUUCAAAAUCCAUAUUCAUUUCUAACACAAGCCUAUUACAUAGAUUACCUAAAUUAAAAUAUAUCUAAUUGCUCUAGGCUUCCCUUUGCUAUAUGUAAAUACAACACAAUUAACAAAUGAUAUUAUAAAUGAUAUUAUAGGUUCCCAUAUACCCCCCACUCCCCUUCCCCCAUGUGUGAUCUCAAUAUUUUACUUCUUCCAUCUUGUUGUGUUGUUAUAAUUUAAUAAUUACUCAAUUGAUUCUGUUAUUAUUUUCUUGCUUACUCCUGCACAUUUUACACAUUCUCUAUUAAUAUUUAAAUUCUGGAACCGUGUUUUUUCAUGUAUUCCUUCACUCCAUCCCACUCUCUAAUUAUUCUCUGAUUUGAGUGGCCUCUAAUAAUUGCCGUCAAUUUUGCCAUUUCUACAAACUCACAGAGUUUGUUUUGCCGUUCUAAUAGUGAUGGGAUUUUCUCUCCCUUCCAGUUUUUUUGCAAUCAACAUUCUGGCGGCUGCUGUUGCGUAAAGGAAUACAUUUUUCUUGUCUUUGCGGAUGUUAUUGGAUAUUAGGCCUAUUUUGUUUAUUAGAUUUCCUUCUGACCCUUUACUUUAAGGUUUCAGGGCAGGUUACAAAAAUAAAAUAUACACUGGUAAAGCAAAUAAAAACAGUCCCAGCCAUAAAACGAGAGAAGUGUAAAAACAAUUAAAAUCAGUUCCAUAUAUACAUAGCUCAUUUGGUAGAGCACAGGACUCUAAAUCUCAUGAUCAUGGGUUUGAGCAGGGGUUUGGACUACUAUAGGGGGUUGGACUACUGUAGAUGAGCCUUGGAAUCCUUUCCAACUAAUCUAUGAUUCUAUGAAAACAAUUUAAAACAGUCCCAGUACAGAUGCAGUCUGGGAUUGAAAUUUCCACUUGAAAAGCUGGCUGAAAGAGGAAGGACAACGGAGACAGCAUUGGUCUAAUAUGCAAUGAGAGGGAGUCGAAAGAGUAGGCGCUGCCACAUUAAAGGCCUGAUUCCUAUAUCCUGCUGUAUGGACCACCUGAUAAGAAGGUUCCUGAUUUCUGCAGAAGGCCCUUUCUGGCAGGGCUACGUGAUUGACUGGGUAUGUAAUGCAGGCUUGGUAUAACACUGGCUUAGUAUAAUAUACUAAGACAGGGAUGUCAUACCGGUGGCUCUCCAGGCCAGCUGUAGCUGACAAAAGUUGGAAUCCAACAAUAUCUGGAGGGCCACAGGUCCCCCAUCCCUUUGUGAACUGCAGCCAACAUUCUUCUGCCGAAAGAGAAAAUGUCAGGGGAUUGCAGGAAGGUAUGUAACAUUGCUUGAGGCUGUCUAACCCUUUUUUAUGAAUCAUUCUUCUUCUGACCUGCUGGAAAGUGUGGCACACAGAUUAUUUUGUAAACCUAUGAAUGCAGGAUAUCUAUCAUCUAUCUAUCUGUCUAUCUAUCAUCUAUCUAUCUGUCUAUCUAUCAUCUAUCUAUCUAUCAUCUAUCUAUCUAUAUCUAUCUAUCUAUCAUCUAUCUAUCUAUCUAUCUAUCUAUCUAUCUAUCUAUCUAUCUAUCAUCUAUCUAUCUAACAUAUAUAGCAAACACUCUAUCCACACUCAAUAAAAAUAUAAAGGCAGUGAUCCUAUGCACACUUUCUUGGGCAAAAGCUCCAUCCAAUUCAGUGCAAUUUACUUCUUAGGAAAGAUGGUGAUAUAUAACGAAUGCACAUCUUUAUGAAAUCUAAGGAAAUGCACUGUUGCCUUAAGUCCACUUGGUGGCACCAAAGGAUUUUGUUGAACAUCUUCAUUCACCCACUUCGAAAUGUUUACUGGUCACGGUAUGUUUUCCUUUGGCAUAUAAAAACACGAUUAUGGCAAAACACACUGUAUUAUUAUUUUUUCUGACGCAAGGAACAAGUGAUAGGGGCGACACACACGUCUUGCCAAACAUAUUAAUCACAGCAUGAUCCAGAUAAUACUGGCAAAAACAAUGCAAUGAACUUGUGUCAAGGGAAUGUCUUCACCCACAUUAAUGCUUAAUGUGUAUGGUUUUACUAAAUAAGGAUGGAAACAACAACCGCGUUUAUAUCCAUGUACCCUGAAGGAAUUACAGAUAACCUAAUUUAUUUAUCUCAUUAUUACCAAGGUGAUGCUUACUAUCUUGGGAAGAAUGAAGUCCUAUUUUAGGAUAUUCAUGAACCACUUAGCUUACAUUAUUCCUAACACACACACACACACACACACACACACACGGCGUAAUGUAAGCUGAGUGGUUAAUAUACAUAACAACCUGCCAUUGCACACAAUCACCAGGUUUCACUGAAAACGUGCAUGUAAUGUGUCCAUGAAGAUGAACUUGUGCACAUUUCCUGGUCCAUACACAUAAUCUCCAACAAGCCUUGGGAGUCAUGCAAAUCUCAAUUGCAUUUUGUACAUUCCCCAGACCCCCAAAAUAUGUUUUCUGGAGCAGACAAGCUUAAUUCCCUCUAGCGUUUUCAAAAGGAAAGGAAAAGGAAAAGGGAAAAAAUGGGAGAGAAAAAUGCAAACACUUUGUUCCUGUCCCACACAAAUCUUCAUGGUUUAGGAGGUGGUUUCGCCUUCCCAGGCAGGCAGGUUUGGUCUGUCUAUUAUAUGUGUACACCUUUAUGAAUCCUGCAUAUGUAUAAUAAAUUGGAUAACCAAGCCAAACCAAGCUGUGGAACCUGAUUGUGUCCUCAGGAUUCCCCAGUAAACAAAGCAAACAAUAGACUUGCUCAUCGUCCUAAAAACAGAUGGUUGAAUAUUUAAUGGAUAGUUGUUAACAUCCUUGAAGUCUUUUGAUGGAAGGCAGAAAUAAGUUGCUUUAAAACAAUGGAGAAAAUAAUAAUGAUGCCAUAGGGAAAUACCUGAAAUUUCAGAGUUCAUGAAUCCAUCACAGCUAAUUCCUACCUGACGGAUCUUGUGCCUCUCAGUGACCUUUUUAUUGAGCAUUCAUCCUGAUUUGUUUGCUCAAAGGUUAUAUGACUUCCCAUCAACGGAUUAUAAUUCCAUGCUUCCUAGUACAUUUCUCCAUCACUUCCCUUACCACAAAAAGUCUGAUUUACUGGCACGUGAUUGAAUCUCUUCUGCAAAAUAGUGUAAGUUUGAAAGGGGAAAAGGAUUAUUUGUGGCAGGGAAAAAGGAUUAUUUUCCGAUUAGGAGAAGGAAAGAGACAGAGAGAGCACCGAGUUAAGUCUUUAAAUUAGGCCAUGUGGCUUUUAGAAAUAGGCAGGUCAAAUGGUGCCAUAAACCACAUACAAGGAGCAGUUUCACAAAGAAUUAUCAAGAGAAAUUGGCAAAGAUUCGCAAGGUGGUAAUUAAAUUUCCACCAGAGAGUGACUUGCAGAUCAUUAAACUCUGUAUAGCUAUCAAGACUGCUGAAAGCUUUUCCAAGUGACAGGUAAGGAAGGGGCUUCUCAGCAGGGACCAAAAGAAAGAAGGAUCAUGUUCCAGAAAAAAUACAGGUCAAGGGAGGAAAGGGGAAAACAACAAGUGCUCGUGGUUUCAAGGAAAGAAGCUGUCUUCUCAGGACGGAAUGACCCUCAUUCUAAAGCCUACUGGGCAUUACUGCCAAAUCAAUACUAAAGCGGUUUGCUUGAUGAGAGAGUGAAGAUUUAUUUGCUCUGGAAAGCACAGAGCCUUUUACAUCCCCAUGAACAGAAAGCCUGCCUGUCCCAUGCAAAAAGAUUUAAAAGGAAUAUCCAGGUAAUUUUCAGCUGCACACCCUUAUUCUAGAUAUGUGCAUAGCUUUGAUGGUGGGGGAGCCAUCCACUGCUUUUAAAAUUGCAAUCCUAUGGCAAAGGCUCACGCAAAGUGAAGACAGCCACAAUGGCACUGAGGCAGUUGGCUCCGGAUUUCUGUUUAAAAUGGUUUAAAAGACAGAAUCUUGUGGUACUUUAAAGACUAACUGCUUUCUUAUGGCAUUCAGUUUCAUGGACUGCACUCUAUCAAAUGUAUCCAUGGAAGCUUAUGUUGUAAGAAAUGUGUUCAGUGUCUAAGGUAUCCAAGCCUUGCUUGCUUUUCUUGCUUUUCCUUCCCUUCCUUUCCUUCUCUCUCUCUCUCCCUUUUUUUCUGCAGCAGACUACACCUCUGGACAUUUCUUAAAUGAUUGUUUUAUUCAUUUUUAUUUAACAUUUCCCAUCUUGCUUUGGACUAGGGUUUACCCUGCUUUUGCUGCGAUUGUUAGCGAUGAAUGAGCCCCCACCUGGGUGCCCCUCCGCCACCUGAGUGUUCCCACUGAAUGCUUUAAAAGCCUAAAUGAUUUUUCCAGCAUUCAGUAGGAAUGCUUGAAAAGUUCAAAAGGCUCAGGAGCUUCUCUCUAUACGUUUCCUCUGCACGUUUCCUCUUAGGGGAGCGAGUUAUUACAGGCAGUGAGGUCCAAAAUCCUCUGGAACUUGGUAUUGCCUCUGCUUCCCCCCACUGGCUGUAGGAUGAAUGGCAAUGCAGGAAGCUCGUGAUGCGACACAAAAAUGGGGUGAAAAAGAGCAGGCCUUGACCUGGUGCUGUGAGAUGGCAGGGGCUUGAAACAGAAAUUCCUCCUCCGCUAGUUCAAAAAUGCCUAGUCCAGGCUUCCUCGACCUCAGCCCUCCAGAUGUUUUGAGACUACAAUUCUCAUCAUCCCUGACGACUGGUUCUGCUAGCUAGGGAUCAUGGGAGUUGUAGGCCAAAAACAUAUGGAGGGCCGAGGUUGAGGAAGCCUGGCCUAGACCAUUCCAAGAUAGGUCUAGAUCCCUUGGAGCUUGUAUUGUCUCUGCCUCAAAGUGGUAAAAAUUCUUCUUGAACCAGGGGAGGAGUCUGCCUUUCAAGCUAAACUUCUCCCAUUUUGAGUCCUAUACCAUCUGUAGCUGUGCUGUCCCUUUCAUGUCUAUUUUUGUGUCACCAUCCACUGAUGGUGGCUGUAGUCAGUUGGGUUGAUAGGGUUGCUCAACAGCAUUCUGAAUCUGCUCACAGCGACACUGCAAUGCAGUGGUUAUGACAACCCGUUAUUCCGAUAUGAUACACUUACCGUAGCUAACACAGAGGGAUGUGGGUGGGAUUUUUAAUCAAGCUAUGUGUAGCACAGAGAUAAAAGGUUGCUGCCUUCUUUGACCCAUAUGCUGAAUCCUGACCACAGCCAAAUGGACAGAACUCCAAUAACCUGAGAUGCAACAGACAAGAGCAGAAAGAUUUGUAGUUCAGCCAGUUUAGAUGAACAGGAUUCAGCUGGCUUAAAUCCCAGAUCCUCUCCCAUAAAUAUGCCAUGUAUUGAUCUGUAAUCCAUAUUUCCUGCCGCUUCUUUGGCACAGCAAUAAUACAUGCAAUGUGAAGGGUAACUAUGAGCCUUAAUGAGACAGAGCAAAUAUAAUUUAUAGUAGUGAGAUAGAUAAACUGGACACAAUUCUCUUCGAGCUUGUAAGGACUAGAGUUGAAAUUUGUGCAACUAUCUGUCUUGUCCCACCACGCUCUUACCUGAAAUGUCCUUCCUGCUCCAAUUUCAAAUGAAAGUUUUGUGUGUGUGCCAACUCUUGAAAAGUUAUUCUGAAUAUCUACAGUUUUUUUCUAUGGUGUUUUCUUUUGAAGCACUGAAUCUGGAAGUCAGGAGACCAGACAAGAUUAAAUUGGAGCACGUCCAAAUGAAUGACUUAUCACAAGGCACUUUCUUAUUAUUCCGCAGAACACCAGUUUUAGCAAUUCAUAUUCCUUGCUAUUUCACAAGGGUUCAGAGGAAGGUGGGUAACGUAUACGUUGCAUUUCCCUUCCCUCCCCAUGCCCCCUAUGGAUUUUAGUGGCCAUUAACUAUCUGGACUGUGCUGAAUAUUCUUAACAACAACAACAAAAUGUUAUUGCUAGUUUAGGUGAUGAGAAAUGAUUCUCAUUUUGAGGGUCUAGAAAACCUUGAAAAUGUUCUCGCGUGAAGAUAUAGGUCAACAAGCAAGGUUAAUUGACAGCAAAUAAAUGUCGAUAAACACACAGGAGUGCGGAAGGAGUUACAGCUGGAUGGUAGAUCACACAUUUUUCAACAUCCUAUGUCCAGUCUAUAUAAUGGGUCUAGCUUAUGGGGUCUCCAAUACAGUGCCCAUAGGCACCAUUAAGUUUAUCCUCCCCCACAGUGCUUGCCAAAGUUCCCUGCCCCUCACAAUUCUUAAUUAUUAUUAUUUUUUGGCUGUUGGAGCAAGUGGGGGGAGGGAACCUACUUUUUCUGGCUGUUAUUUUAUUUGGGAGAACCCAUGACCAUUUAAAGUGUUAUCAUUGUAUUUUAAAAGUAUAGUGUGCAUGUGGCCAUACACAACCCUCUCUAUCCUCUGCCCAAGUUAGCAAGAGGGAGUGUCAAGAGAUCAAGGCCACAUUUCAGCCUGGCAAAAAACAGGUGUGAAGUAGGCACAGUGAUAGCUGUGGUCUAGAUUGAGUUCCAAGGGCCAGAUAGAGGUGUCUGGAUGGAGGGCCACAUUCAAAAAUAAGAAUAGCCUGCUGAAUCACCCCUUUUGUGAUUUAUCCUAUGCCGCUAACAAACUCCUUUUAUAGGAAUGUUUGCACUGCAUAUCCUUCCCACCUGGAGACAAAGUGUAUCACUUUGACCUUGGCUUAUGCAUGAAUCUUAUUUCAGCAAUACUGUAUACAUAAUAUCAGUGGUUUGCAGUCACAGUUGUUUCCUGCAAUCAACGUGGUUCCUCAUUACCAUAACUGAUAAACAUCAAUCAUGUUUUGCCGGAAAGCCAUCACUUCUUUCCAGUUCUCUGGCUGUCCAUUCCAGUUCAGUUUCUCAGUGACCACAAGUGUAACCUAAUUACCAGUUUCAUCACUUAGCUUGACCUGCAGCAGCAUAAACAGUACUUUGUGUUGCUGGGGCUAAAAUGUAUCCUGUAUUACUUUUGGGUCAAGCCAUUCACAUCCUUAUUAUCCUGAACAUGCCUGGUGCAUACAUGGAAGCAAUCAGCUGUCUUCUCUUUGCCAGUGCCAGAGCAGAUGACAAUCCUUCGCAGGCAUAGCAAUAAGAUUACACAUACUAUGACAUUUUGCCUGCUGCUACCUAGGACUUGCUGAUCAGAAGGUCGGCGGUUCGAAUCCCCGCGAUGGGGUGAGCUCCCGUUGCUUGGUCCCAGCUCCUGCCAACCUAGCAGUUUGAAAGCACGUCAAAGUGCAAGUAGAUAAAUAGGUACCGCUCUGGCAGGAAGGUAAACGGUGUUUCCAUGCGCUGCUCUGGUUCGCCAGAAGUGGCUUAGUCAUGCUGGCCACAUGACCCGGAAGCUGUACGCUGGUUCCCUCGGCCAGUAAAGCGAGAUGAGCGCCGCAACCCCAGAGUCGGUCAUGACUGGACUUAAUGGUCAGGGGUCCCUUUACCUUACUACAUUGACACUGGGGGCUUGUCCCUUCACUCCAGCAUUGGGACCUGAGAAUCCCAGCCUAUGCACUGCUGCUUCAGUUUAACAGCUCAUUUAUUUAUUUUCUUACAUUGACAAUCCCACCUUUCUUCCCCCAUGGAACAUAAGGCAGUGUAUAUGUGGCUUCCGGACCUACAUAGCUUCAGAAAGAUAGUUGUUUCAUAUACCUCCAAACCAUACUCCUGGUCAUGGCAUGCAGAAAGGUACACUAUGGCAUCUUUUCCAUUAUAAGAUGCAGGCUCAGUGCCACCUUGAACUAGAAUUGUAAAACUGGGUAAGAGGCCAUCCAUGCUUGCUUCUGUUCAUCUGUGUAUCAGCCAACUCAAGACUGAAGAUUUGCUUUUUCGAAGUAAUUGGCAGUGUAAAUUCCAACAUGCCCUUUCCCUGCCACCACUGUGGAUUGGUUCAUCUUGGUCAAGUCUCUGGGAUCUCCAAUUAAAUAUCUCCAAUCUCUGAGGCUGUUCAAUAUCUCCAUCUCAGGCUUUGGGGGGGUUGAUGCUGUCAAUCUGAGUUGUUGGCAUUGGCACCAAUCUGGGCAGGGCUUGGGGGUGGGGGUGACAUUCAAGGCUCCACUCAGCAGAUUGAGCAUCCUCUCCCAAAUGCAAUUUGCCACACUUUGAAGUGAGUGAGGUGACAGACAUCACCUCUGAAAGAGGCCCCGCCCCAAUAAGACCAUUAAAACCAGAGGCUAUCUGCAGCACUGGUUGGUGGCACUGGACUAGAAUGAACCAAUAGUCUAUGACUAUGCAAGCCAGCUCCUUUCAACUAUAUGUGCAUACACUUUGCACAUUUUAAAUUGUACAACCAUUUUCUAACUUAAGGCAUUUGAAAAGGCAUUUUGCCUAUCGACGAGGUUAAAAAGGGGACUGCUGUGAAAGUUAGAACUGGGCAACCUAUCCUUUCCUGACUGCAAAUAUGUUUCAUUGAGCAAUGCUGCUCUUUGCAGGUAUACGAGGGCAAAAUGAGAAAAGGAUAUUGUCAAUACAUCACAACCCCUUACGUUUACUGAAGUGAACAGCUCGUGUGUGCAUAGUAUACUAAAAAAUGGGCAAUGACUGCAAGGUUGCUAGAGAAUAAUAAGAUAUAUGGAAAAAAGACUCACGGAUGGAAGUCUUGUGUAUGCCAUUGAGUAUAUAUUUAUUCACCUCUUUUAUUCUUGAUUAUUUCUGAGCAUGCAGAAAUAUGAUGGCAAAACUAGCUCACCACUCAUCCCUGCUCCUGAUAGAACUGUCAGCAUCUUAAAAUCUUGGAAAACAGAUUGAAUCCCUGCUUCAGAAUCCAGAUGCUCAGCAGUCCCUAUAAAUCAGGAAUGGGGAAUUUGAGACCUAGAAGCUGAAGGCAGCCUUCCAGAUCUAUCUGGCCCUUGGGAAUCUUCCUAGGUCAUGUCCCCCUCUCCAGGCCACACCCCUCACUGACAUUGUUCCACAUCCUCCUUUAGCCUGGCUGGAAUGUGUCCUUGAAUUCUGAUAGUGUGAAGGGAAAAAGGUUCCCCAUGCCUGUUAUAAAAGCAAGAAGUUGAGUCUGCUGGCAGGCUGGUCAAUAGCGCACACCUCUUCUUGUGCCUUUAUUGUUUUCCCUUCUCUUUGUGCUGCCUUCCUUUCCCAACCUUACAUAGGAGCCAACUCCUAGAGGCUAAGGUCCCCUCACCUCUCAUAAAAUAUUUGAGGGGGCAACCCUCCUCCCCAACUUGAUGGGCCUUGCCAUUCGAAUGGUGUGUGUGCCAUGUCUUGUGAUCAAUUAUGUGGGGUGGGGCUUACCUCCCCCUCCCCAAUAUUUUAUUCAAGUUGGCACUCCUGAAACCCUAUUUGACUUGACUUCUGUUUGGUCCUCCCUGCCACCUUGCUGCCUGUCCUCAUCAAAGUUUUCCUGGUCACAAUCCUGCUCAAACUUAUCUCCUUUCCUUCAUCCUGCUUUGAUCCCAUGUCCUAUCUUGCUCCCUGAUACAGGAUUAGGAAGGGUUCUGUAACACAGGUGAAGACCGUGGGAGAACCACAGCCCCACUUUGUUACCUACAGAUACAAGCUUGGUUGUUUGCUAAUGACUGGUGCGUGGAGGACUCUUCUAAGUGAAAUGAAUACCAGAGAAUGGGAUGGAGGGGCUGGGCUGCUCCUACGCUGCUCCUGCCUGAAACAUCUUGUUUGUAUUGGGAGGUUUCCAUGUCCCUUGGAACUCAUGCAAUUCAGUGCAUCCUGGGAGAAUUUAUUUUCCCAGGCUACAGCUACAGACCCUGAUGUUGGGAAAGAUGGAGGGCACAAGGAGAAGGGGACGACAGAGGACGAGAUGGUUGGACAGUGUUCUCGAAGCUACAAACAUGAGUCUGACCAAACUGCGGGAGGCAGUGGAAGACAGAAGUGCCUGGCAUGCUCUGGUCCAUGGGGUCACAAAGAGUCGGACACGACUAAACGACUAAACAACAACAACAACACAACUACUGACUACUCAUAGAAAUGGGCAAAUUCUUCAUUGGACAUUGUGGAGAAAUGAUGUUAGCCAAACAACCAGUCAUUUUUGGCUGGUGGCCCUUCUCCAUGAUAUACAAGGCUGAUCUCACUUGCCCACUUAAGCCAUCAGUGAUUAGACUCUGGCUCAUAUUCUUUUUAAAUGGCAUAUUUUUUGUCAUUCUCAACUUUAAGAAUUGUAUUUAUUUUAGGGAAGAAAUUUGGCAGCUCACGUGACUGUGGUCCGUAGCUCAGCAAAAAGUGCCAAGUUCAGUAGCUGGUGGUGGAAAGACCUCUGCAUGAGAGUCACUACCAGAGUAGACAAUAUUGGAUUAGAUAGUCUGGGCUUCUAUUUUUUAAAUGCUUUAAAUCUGGCAAGAGUCCUGAAGUUGUGCUCCUUUUCAUUAGAUCUGGCUGCUUUCAGAGCAAAUGAACUAGUUUUUGACCUUUCCCAAAGUUACCUGCGUGCGUAUGCAAAUGACUGGUGCUAUUUUAGAAACAUGCUUAGAUGUAUAUGCCUAAUGAUAAAGUAUUGCUUCUGAAGAUGAAGCAUUUGUACUUUGCGCCCUCUUCCGUUCUCCAUGUGAUUAAAUUCUCUCAUCAGAAUGAAAGCCGUUUAUCAUCCUCAAUGUACAGAUAAUAUGAUGAUUGAUGGCUUUGCAUCCAACUGUAUAAUAUGCAAAUAUAGCCUUCUGCUUCCUCUUUGGCAAAGCCCUGUGUGCUUCUUCCCAUUCAUUUCCUAAUCCCCUUAAACACGAAUGUGAUAUGUGCGUUGUGGAAUGUGAUCACCACAGGGAUUCUGACCUCCCCCUGACCCCCAUCCUAAAGAAAAAUACUCAGGAUUUAAUAGCUAUUAAGCUUCCUGAAAGGUAGCAUUACCAGAUUAGGUUUAUGCACCAACUUUAGAAAUGCAAUUAUUUCACUUUCUAAGUGCUAUCUGAUGGUAAACAUUGUCUUCAUUUAUAGCUGACUCCUUGAAAAUAAUAAAGACACAGCUGUUGUCAUCUGAGCCUUAUAGAAGAGAGAAACUGCAGAUAAUGAAAAAUGUUGAUAAUGAAUUUUUGUUUCCAGGGAAUUAAAAUCCCAGAAUCACUCAGCUGCUGAUGUAAAUAAAUCAGGAUUGCACAACCUGUGAUCUAGCAACCUGAACAAAGUCCACCAGCCAGGUGACAUGAUUAGCAGAUAAUUGAUAUGCCCUCUAUGGCAUAGUCCCAAUAGGCACGAUAACAGCACUUUAUCACAUCCCUAGUGGUGCUUCCAAGUUCUGCAGACCUGGAUUUUUUUAAACUUUUAAUUUAAAAAAGGCAGGGUAUAUAAGGCAACAUAAAGGUUUUGCACACUAAUACAUCCAGCGCACACCCAAAAGGUUCAAAGCAAUAUGUAUUGGAAAAAUAACACGCCUCUUGACCAUGUGACACUUCGUCAGAGGAGACCAUUUCAAAACAAUGUCCUGUUUGCUGGGCUUGUGAAUGAACAAAGUGACAAAGAUAAUUCCUGUUGGAAGAAGAGUCUUAUUUUUUAUGCAUAUCGCUCCACUAAAUAUCAGUCUGCACUAUUUCGGAUUUCAGCAUCACCUGUUAUGCAAUGCCACUUUUUUUUUUACAGCCAUCUUGCAGAAAUAGUGAAAUUGCUGCAAAAUGACACACCUGAGGCUCUAGACAAAUAUAACUGGCUAAGCAGAGUGGAAUAUUGUACAGAUCAUCCAACUAAUUAAUAUAGCAUGGGCAAGAGGAGACUGUCAAUACUAACAGAUUCAAGGACAAUUGGAAAUCAUUUAUUUGGUUUGGGAUUUCAUCCAGAGUUAAGUAAUUCAAUAGAUUUAUUGUCAGCUACCUAAGAAACAAGCUUAGGUUCCUUUUUGUGUGUGAGUUAACUGUAUCCUGAUUUUGUGCAAUAAAAGUAUUCAAAACAAAAUUAAUCUAGGGAUUCACCUUUAUAUAUAUGCAGUCCUCUUUUUUUUUUUUUACCACCUUCAAUUCUUUUGUCAGUCUCCGUUCCGAACGUCUGUUAGAGAGCUGCCACAAAUUUAGCCUUGAAAGGCUGACAUUUAGCCUUUCCUCAGCUUUAGUCAAUCAACACUAUUCCCUGUCUGAACUUUUGAGCACACUUUGCAAAAAUAGUUGGAUAGUGUCAGUCAGAUCAGCGUUUUGAGAUUGACUGUUCCUUUUCCCUCUAGAAGCGAAACGCUGUGGCAAGUGCAACUGUUUUGCCUGCUUGUCUGAUAGCCUUUCCAUCACGGGCUCUGCAGGGGGGGAAACCUUAACACUGUCAGAUAAUGCCUGUGUGAGGAAAUUUCUGCCACCUCUGGAGAAAAUACCUGCCAACGACUAGGUCCAGCCCAAGGUUCAAUAAGUAAAAAGACAACUAAAGCACAAUAAUGAAAAGAAGAGAACUCAGUUUUGACUGUCUUGGAGGGGAUUGGCCAGAAGUCAUCACUCUAUGUGCCAAUCAGUGUCUCAGCUGGCGGUCGCUUGGUGUCUGAAUUGUUCAGAUAAAUCUCCUUGACAGACUGGGAUACGUUUGUACAGCCUGGUGUGUCUUCGGUCAACAUUUCUAGUUAGCCUAAGUUCUGGAAAUGUGUUUCCACCGGUGACAUGUCAGGAAAUGGCAAAAUAUUGUCGGGCCUUUUGGAAAUAGGAGAAGGCAAAGAUUAUACAUUCUCCGAGCGGUCGGGCUAUUUAUGUUAACAGUGGAGACAAACACACUAAGCUACAUAACAGCUUAUUUAUGUUAAGAAAUAAUAAAGCGGCUACUUAUUCACCGCACACAAAACACCUGAGGGAAUAUUUUGUUUCCUUAAGAAAAAUGCCACCACAUAUUUAUAGCGACUCUUUAAAAUAAGUCAAUUUAUUCAGAACAACUCUGUGGAAUUGGAACAAGGGAAAUUCUUUACACAUUCACACAUUCAGUCUUUGCGUGUCUCUAGGUGGGUGUUUAUUGAGGGACGAGAGGCUCCACAUGAUGCAUGCAGGUGGUCUGUAGAGGCCACACAAUGUCAGCUUCAAAAUGCCAGAGCCAUUUAAUCCAGAUUUACCAGAACAAACAAAAAACCAAGCCACUGUUUUCAAUGACCUGGUUGCAGUAUCUCAACAACCCAUUAGCAAAUUAAGUUCCUGUCUUAAAGCACUGUUUGGCUCAUUUCCAGGUCUAGUGGUUAGUGUUGGAUUAGGAACUGGGAGACCAGGGUUCAAAUCCCCGCUUAGUCAUGGGACUCACUGGGUGACCAUGUCACAGUCUCUCAGCCUAACUUACCUCACAGGGUUGUGGCGAGAACAAAAUUGGGAGGAAGUGUUCCAUGAAAGCUAUAUUGAGCUCCUUGGAGGAAAAGUAGGAAAUAAAUGCUAUAGAUAGGUAGAUAGAUAAUAUCCUCCAGUUGUCCCCGUUCACCCGGGAUAGACCCUCUUUUUGCUACCUGUCCGUUUUUGUUUUCUUUCAAAUGACUUGUUAAAAUUUUGAUCGUGUACAUUUCUACUUUUGACUUUCUUAAGGAUUCAAGCUUGUACUCCAGGUCUAAACUACAUAGAUAUAUUUCUGAGGAAUAGGGUGAGGAAAAGCAUCAUCAUCAUCAUCAUCAUCCUUCCACCCUUCAUCCAAAGAUCACAGGGCAGUUUGCAUCAUAAAAAUAUAAGUUUCUUCUUGCUUCUAAAGCACAUGCAUGCAAUUUCAGACGUGUGAACAUUCAAGUUGCCAUGUAGGAUGCAGCCUAAAUUUCUAAACCAGCGGAGGACAAGCUACUAUUGCAGAGUACAUUAAUAUAGUAUAGCAAAAUAACAGGAUAGAGUUUUCAGCAAAGUGCCAGGGGGACAGCAGGCUUGAGUAGUGUUCAUUUGUAUUAGAUAAGGGAUAUUAUCUCCCUGAAGAAGCUAGGUUGGCUCCCUCCUUGUUGUCUUUUCGCUGGCAGUUCUUGCGAACUGACUGCUUUAAUGAAAGGGCUGGUGCUGUUUUUAUUUUAACCAUUUGCAUGUUUAAAACAGAUUUUAUUUACAGUCAGCUCCCUAUUUAUGUGCGUUCAAUAUGUGUGUGACUGAGUAUGUGUGCAUCACACUAAACCCUUAAGUGACCCGAAAAACAUCACAAAAGGGGUGGAAUGGGGCAGGGGUGGAACGAGGUCUUUGCAGGCUUUUUCAAUGGUGUUACAAAUGUACAUGAUUUCAUUUAAACGUGCGGUGCCUUGGAAUGUAACCCCUGCAUAAAUUGGGAGUUGCCUGUAUGUAUAUUGUUCUAAUUCUAUUAAUGUUUAAUUGUUUUUUAAGUAUUGUUUUUUUCUUUUUCUAUGCUUUUAGCCAUUAUUGUUUUGAUCCAUAAGCCACCUUGAGUCCCAUCAGAGAAAAAGGCAGGGUACAAAUAAAAAAAACUAAUAAUAAUAAUAAUAAUAAGCACAUCCACAUUUUCAUCUGCGAAAGGUGCAUCACUCUUAUUUUCCAUUCACUAUGAGCUGUGCAAAUCUUCAUUUCUCUCUCUCUCCCCCAAAGGCUAUGUGUGAAAAUCAUUAAGAAACCAAACUUUCCAGAGAAUAUUCAAAGCAUGUGUCCUCUGAUAAUACCACCUCUAUUUUUAUAUGCGUCAAUUUCUACGAUAUUCUGCAUGUUCACUGCAGACAUGCUCUCACUAAGGGCCUGUUUUCCAGGGGUCACAUUCACUCAUUCUACGUGCAUGUGAAUUUUUUAAAGACAAUUGUGCCUUGAGUAGAGCAUAUGCCAGUACCACAAUUUGUGUGGUAGGAAAGCAGAUGCUUUGCAAUGUGUGCAAUACGUGAUGCUGGUUUGGAGUUCUUCUGUGCCAGGCUGCCAUUGGUUUCUCCAGGCAAGUUUGCAUCAAAACAUCUGGUUUGGUCCUAAAGCAACAAACCAAAUGGAGGGGGCAGCUGUUGUGAGCAGAAAUGCUAUAACUUUCAGAACAAAAUUGUUUUGGGAAUAUGUGCAAAAGUGGGCUUGCUUAAAAGGAUGGGUUUCCCAGACAUAAGACUUGUCAGUGUGCUUAUCAGAGGCAGGGAAGUCCUCAGGCAGACAUGGUACUACACAGAGCAAUGUUUCUUUGAAAGUUGCAUCCAUGCAAAAAAUAAAAAAAUAGCAAUGUUCAUGUCUUUCUCUGAUAUUUCUAGCUUUUUUACCUGGGGUGCAAGUUCCACAUGACAUUGUUUGGAGAGAGAAAAAUCUUUCCCCAUAUGAAAACUAGGCAGUGGAGUCUCCAGCCAGAGAAACAGACAAGCAGCAGAUUUGGACAGGGUGGCUGUCAGAAAUUGCUACCUGUAGGCAUCUCCCACCUAGACCAGUAAAGAUUUUCAGGCUGCGAUAGACUGCAAAAUGACAAGAUGCAUUUGAGUCAGACGGAAAGUCAGGAAUGAAUACCUGUCAGGAUCUCACACCUGGACCCCUGAUCUCCCUUCUGAUCCAAGAUAGCAAAAACUGACACAUAGCAUUACUGGAGAGACCGGCAGAUUGAAAUCACUACCUGUCACUUUUUCCCACCAGAAGAAAUAAAAUGUUCUCUUGCUCAGUAGUUACAAAUUGUAGAAUGUCCGUCUGAACCAGACACACAACAAUCAAUGGAACAGCUAAGGGAGGUCGUAGGAACUGUUGCCAACUCACCCCUGGAUCUUUGAAUCAGACCUCAGAUGAACAGGCAGGUAAUGUCAGUCAGAGAACCACUUGCCUGCUUUGACAUUUUGUGGUUCACAUAGUGAGGCCCCUUUCCAUUUUGGUUGUCUGUGUUUCUAGGUAUUUUACAACCACAUCAUAACAGUCAACACCUGCAACGUUAUUAUAUAAACAACUGUAUUAUCCAUCAUUAAUACAAUGUUAUGAACAUGAGGGGCAGAGGAAUAACACCCCCAACCAAAGAAAUUAAUGAGUGUCAGAAUCUAGAUAAUAGCUGGGAUAUCGAAGGGAAAAUACAAUCUGUAGAGGAAUUCCUGGGUUAGCCUAUGCAAACUGAUCGGCUAGCUUAAGUGCAGAGCCAGUAAUAAACAACGGAGUGCCAUUAAAGGGAGGUUGCCAAGGUGAUGGGGGGGCGUGAUGUCAGAGGAAAAUUUGUACUUCUUGAAAAUCUAAGGAUGUACUGAGAGGAAGAAGGAUAACAAAGGGCAGACCUUCAUGAGCUGCUGGUCAGGCCAGACCUCCAUGCUGGAGGCUGGAGGAGGCUGCACCAAGAGCCAUGACUGACUGCUGCUUUAGACCUAAGCUUGCUGAAGCUAAGAGAGGGGCAACGAGAGACACUCUUCUGUGCCCCUUCUUACUGUAGACUUUCAGGUGUAAAUAUGUGUUAAUAACCCAUAUUUCUUCAAGACACUAGCCUCUGCUGUGCCUUGCCUGGAACCCCUGGAAUCUCGCUCUGCUCGUUGAUAUUGCGAUGGCAUGUUAGAAUAAAUAAAAAUCCAAAACUAUGCUUGUCUGAGUAAAAGUGUCUUAAGAUAUUACAAGAACUGAAACAUCGCCUUUCUGGAUCAAAGUCUAUCUAAUCAAAUUCUCUGUCUGACAUGGGCAGCCAGAUGCUACUUGAAGAUACCAGCAUCUGGUAUUCAAAGGUAAACUGGCUCUCAAUAUGGAGAUUCAAUUUAGUUAACAUUUCAAUAGCUGCUGUGUGGCCCUAUCUGUCAUGAAUGCAUCUAAUCUUCACAAAGUAAGGUUUCACAUUUGCCUCCACUAUGAGGCAAUCUUGCGCAUGGACAGGAUGCAACAAUGCUGCAAAUGAUGGAAUAAUUUGAGGGAGCCUCUUUUGAACUGGUUGGUGGGAUACAAAGCUAUCUAAUUGCAUGAGUUGGGGUAAUGAAAUAAUAAUAAUAUCAGAAAGGCUGUGAGAAGAAUGUAGCACAUGAAGAGCCUCUGGAGAAGCCCUCACUUUUUAAUAUGCUCAUUAGAUAUAUGCCUGUGUAACUGUAUCUUACCCUGCCUUUGUGAUGUCUUCUGUAUGAGAGUAUUGCUUUGUUUUAAAUGGUUGCCCACUAGCAAUGAGUAAAAACAGCUUGAACCAAGAGGCAAAGCGAGUGCAUCUCCCGGGUUCAGACUUAGGGUUGUUUUGAGAUAAGCAGCACCCUGUCGUUGCCAAGAGGAAGCUAAUCAUUAUGCAAAACUACUCUAGAUGUAAGCCCCAUCUUUAUCAGUCUAUCGGAAGGGAAGCUAAAAUCCAUUUGCUCUCCCGAAACUCUGAAUGUUUUAGAAACAGUUUCUGCUGGGAAGCUACAAUCAACCCUUGCAGCUCAGCUUUGAAUAAUAUCCCGUGCUCCUUUUCCAGAGCAUUAACUGGAAAAACUGUUGCCCCCAAGCUUUCGUUUUGCAGAGAGACAGCACCAGCAGCAUAGCUGCAGCAGGAACAACAGAGCCUUCAGCUCAAUGGGGGAUUGACCGCUACAAUUCCAUCUGUGAGUAAUGCCUGCUACUGGAUUAUUAUUAUUUUUUUAAAACAUGUUUUCCACUUGCAAAGAAGCAUGUAUAAAUAGCCAUUCUACCCCUCAAAAUACACAGAAGCAGUAAGUGCAAAUGGAUUAGGCCACCAGUUCUACACAUUUCAGAAGGAAAUUUCAGAUUGAAACAUUUUCACAAUGGGCACGGUUCCCUUUUCUCCAUCUGCAGAAGAUGUUAAGAUGCAUUCCAACUCCCUGCCUCUACCCCUGCCCAGGUGAGAGCAUCUCCAGAGUUUCUGAACAGGUGAAGAUUCCCAGAAGUGAUUUCCUUGGCACUGCUGAUCCCAGUGGCUUGGUGGCGUAAUAGCCAAGCAUUCUGCAGGGGAUUAAAGAAGCAGGUUUUUGCAUAGGGUAGGUCUUGGGCCAUAGCUACAAUGCAACACAGAGAUUCUAUGCUGAAAGGAACAAUAUUUUAAAGUGGUUGGGGUUGGCCGCAUGGCGGUGGAGACCAGGCUACGGGGACAAACCUUUGAGUACCUUCUUACACAACAGUUUUGGUGUGCUAUCUGGGAAGUGUAAGUGUAGAGAGGAAGCAAAAAAUGUUUCACCUGCCCAAAAUCUUCUCUCAAAAUGCCAAAAUGGCAUUCAAUAUAAGGCUGGCCUAGGAGUAAUACUGUAGCCAGUCUCAAAUAACUGAACAUUCCUAUUUUGCAUGGGAUUGCAUCCCAAGGAUCAGGAUCGCAGCUUGGAUCAGGAGUGCCUCUAAUGGGUCUUCUCACGGAUUAUAAUUAUUAGUUUGAAGUUAUGGCCCUGAGUACAUCUUAUUAGCUUCAAUUGAUAUGCCAGCUGCACUGCUUCCUGGAAAUAAUGUUGUGAUUUCCCUGAUAUCCUCCCAACUCUAUUACUGACUCGACAAAUACUGUGGAGCUCCAACACCCAACAGGCUCGGUCAGCAUGAUCAAUGGUCAGCAAUGGUGGGAGUUUGAGCUCAGUAACAUCAGGAGGGGCACAGCUUAGCCAACCAUGCUGCAAAUGCUAACAGACGGGGCUGCCACUGAAGGCCGUUUAGAAGCUUGAGUUGGCAGCAAGACUGAUGUUGACCACAGAGAAGGAGCAGCAUCAACUUUACAAAGCUUCUCCUGGUUUACUAGGUUGUUUCAGGGCUAAAUCCAUAGAACACGUUCAAUAUUUGAAGCACAAUCUGUCCAGGGCUCAGAAUAUCCACUAGUCUUCCUGUCCGGCAUCCCUUCUCCUCUCAGUAAGCAGCAGUAAUACUUGGGGAUCAGGAAGCCAGGAACACCCUCUGGCCUGCACUGCACCCCCCGCUGGCACCCUUAUCAUUUUUUCCCAUGUUUAUUUUAAGGCUGUGUUUUACAGUUUGGCUAAUUUAACAAUCUAUGACAUUUAAACUGUGUGUAAGGGUUAAUACUGUCACUAUGUUAUGUAUUUUUGUGUUUUUAUAUAGUCAACUGCCCUGUGAUCCUCAGAUGAAGAGUGAAUAAUAAUAAUAAUAAUAGUUGUUGUUGUAGUAGUAGUAAUAAGCUGCCCUAAAUGCUAUUUAUUAAGUGAAAUGCCAGGAUACAACAACAAUUUAUUAUUUACACCCCACCCAUUUGGCUGGGUUUCCCCAACCACUCUGGGGAAUUGUGUGAAAUAAAUUUCAGCAAGUCCUGUCUGUUAUUAUACUGGCAUUUCAUAUUUAGCGUGUUCUGAAUGUUAUUUGGUGGUAUUUUUGUAGUUAUUACUGAUGUUGAUUAUCAUUUCAUCUAAGCUUUGAAUUUUGAAUUUUACAGCUAUUUUAUUGCUGCUUCCCACUUGUGUAAGUUGUAAAAAUGGAAAAGUGGUUUGCAACAUUGCAAAUAAAUAAGCAAAUGUUUUUAAAAGAUGAAUUAGGUACAGAGGGCAUGUUUCAGCCUGCAGAGCUCCUUUUCUCCUUGCCUCACCUCAAACAGAGAACUGUAGAUAGACAUGUCACAAUUUUUCCUGUCAUUUUUCCAAGCCUGAUUAAUGAGAAGGAACAGAUGUCCAAGUCUAUAUCUAUCGUAGCAGGGAGCUCCCUUUGAGAUUUAUCCGUGUGUUAAGAAUAAGCCUUCCUUGUGCCAGAGAGCCGGAAUUAGAGAAGAUAGACUUUUUAAAAAACUGAACUGUCCACCAUCAUGUGUGCAGAAAACUCCAUGAGAGAGCUACAGACAUAAUGCAGAAACUGCCUGAAAAUGUAAAUUUGCUAACAUUGUGAAGAUUUCAAAAGUCAGAUUAGAAAAGAUUCUGUUCGAAAGACUGGGGAGUGGUACGUCCAUCCCCUGCAUGCUGUCCUAUCUAAUUUGUCUCCAUUUAUAUUUCUAUGUUUUUAUUUUAUUUUGUGGACUGCUGUGGUGCUGGAAACAGGUGAGGAGUGGCAGAUGGAGAUACCUAAUAUUUGACCAAACAAACUCAGCAUAUAUAAAUAUAUUGAGCCAACUACCCAAGAAAAUGAUUGCCAGCAAAUACUUAUAUUUCAAAUCUGUGUUGCAUCUUUUUGGAAAAAAAACUCCUAUAAAAUUUUAGUGGGUGAGACCCAAAGUAGCAGUCUGCUAGUGCAACCGCCACGCUGCUGCCUUGGUCUGCCUGUGGUCCCCUCUUCUGGUGGAUUAAUUCAGCUCAUAACUCACAAUAAGAAUGGCAUUUAAAACUCCUAAUAAUCUUCAACUCCAUUGCUAUGCCAAUUCAAAACAAAGUGGGCUGCUGACACAUACAUGAUAGAAGCAGACUCUUAUACAAUCUCCUUUUACAGUACUUUUAUUUGUACUUGUUUAACAAAUGCUCAAUACUUUGCCUUCUUUUCAAUUGCUUUUCCAUGUGUUUUUAUGCCCUCCCUUUUUAGAAGUACCAAUGCAAUUGGUUAAUAAAAUAACAAACAUUUAGUGCAUUAACAUAGUUGGGAAAUAAGUGGACAGUCCUCAUUAAUUCAUGUGGUUUUCACAAUUACAUUAAUCAUAAUGAAGUAAUUCACGUCAUACUUAUGUGAAUGUGAUAUAUAAUUUAUGGGAAUUGCUUGGUAAUUUUGCAAUUAAAAUACAAUUAUAUUAAAAUGUUACCUACCAUCUAAUUUCUUUUUUUAAAGCAUUAUUUAUGACAUUUUAGCAUUAAUUAUAGAGGGAUUAGCAACAUUCUUAGUUCGAAAACACCAUGUAAGCAGAAAUACUUGCACAAUGAAAUGCUAAUUAGUUUCUAGGGAACAGCAUUCAGUGAGACAAAUACUCUGGAAAGUAACUGUCGGUAUUGAAGCAGAUGGAAGAAACUAAAUCACGCAAGUAAAACAUCAGAUAUUUCAUUUGCACACCUGUCUGAGAAGUUGUUCUCCAUUGUGUGGGGAAGGAACACUAUACAGAUUACAUGAAUCGAGCCCAAGAAGCCCAGAAGGCAAAACUUUCAGAUGUCUUACUUCUGAGUGUAUUUUGGGUCAGCAUUUGAAGACAUACUGGCCCAUUCCCAAGUUUCUCCUUGUAGUGCUCUGUUACCAUUACACUCGAUAACAGCUGUCUAUACAAAUAGCAGUUUCCCAGCAUUCUUCCUCUUUGUCACUCUGUUCCUAACAUAAGAUCCUAUCACAUUCCCAAAACUGAAUCACACUACAGUAGUAGCUUGGUUUUCAAACGAACCCAUUGAUGAAUGUUUUGGUUUCUGAAUUCUGUAAACCUGGAAGUAAAUGCUUCAGUUUUCGAACGCGCCUCCGAAGUUGAACAUGAAACGCGGCUUUCGUAUUGAGUUCUCCAUUUUGAGUCUUCAGUACUGAGUUUUCGGUUUUCGAACAUUUCAGAACUUGAAUGGUUUUCCAGAAUGAAUUAUAUUUGAAAACUGAUUUCCUGUUAGAAUUCCUGCUCCAUGAUUGCAGUCAUGGGAUUGUUGUCUUUCACAUGACGGUGUAUGUUUUGACUCCACAAAAUGAGAAGUGACGGAGAAAGGAUGUUUGUGUUACAGUGUUCCACGAAGUGGGACUAUUGUCCUUUGUUCUUUCUCUUUGCUGUCUGAUGCUAGAGAGAGGGAGCCAUGUUGCAGUGCUCCAUGUAUGUUUAUAUGUAAAUAAAGUAGAUUAGCCAAAAUGCUGAGUUGCUGAGCACUGUUACGCAAGCUGCAAAGACUCUGCGGAUCCCUAAGUGUGCCGAUGUCUGUAGGCAUUGGUCGCUGUGAUGUUCGGGCAGAAGAAAGCUUUUCAAGCUCCCAAACGAACGACCAGGAGGGAGGGAACAUGCCAGACAGGCAUGUGUCCCAGCCAGGGUCCUACUUGAGAGUAGGAUGAGCUCCUAACAGGUACCACUGUCUAGUAUGGUUAAGAAGCAAGGUCUACCCAGGCAGACUUAACUGAAGGGAUGGAGCUACAUAAGUAUUAUUUGGCUUAGUUCUUAAUGGCACUUUUAGUCCUUUGGAACAAAGUAAAUGAGCUGCAAUCUCGGACAUGGUUCAGAAGCCAAAACUCUUGGGAUCCCUGGUCAGUUUGGCACCCAUCCUAAGGAUGUGUCUUUACUUUUUCCACUAUCGGCAGAUGUGAUUGCCAGAAGCUACUUUAUACAGAGCCCGACCACUGGUCCAUCUAGUUCACUACUGUCAACAUUGACUGACAGCAACUCUCCAGGGUUUAAGACAGGAGUCCUUCCUAGUCCUAGCUGGAGGUACCAGCCACCCACUUCCCAUUAUCUAAUACCUGAGUCCCACGUGGGGCAAAAUAUUUCCGAUGACCUUCGUGGUCCCUUCCAACUCUAAUUCUAUGAUGCUGUUAAGCAGAGAUGGUUGGGGCUGAACUUGGGACCUUUUGCAUGCUUAGAAUGUGCUCUGCUGCAAAACUAUGGGCCCCCACACAGCUGCUUCUUAUGCACGUGAAAGAUAUUGUAACAUGUAAUAAACUUUGCCAAGGUGGUUGGCUUAAACUUUUAUCGGUGGCUACACUGGGUGUUUUCCCUGACUCUCCCAAAGCAAUUAUCCUCUCAGCUAUGGAUACAACAGUAUUCAAAGAAUAUUUCCACCAUAUCAGAGAAUCUGUGAACAAAUUAUUCUGAAGCCUUUGUGCUGAUAACUAACAAAUAAAACUGAAUUCCAAAGCACAACCUGGAGAACAAAUCAGCUGAAAGAAAUGUAAGAUUGUGAUCAACGCCUUUUCAAACGAAGCAAUGUUCUCCCACACAGAAUGUCAAAGAGAUCACCAAACAACUGUUGCUCAUUGUGAAACAUGAAUUGUUAACUAAUGCUGCACAAUCAGAACCCUGCUUUGUUCCGUAUAAGGCUUGCAGUCACGAUCAUCAAUGCUAUAGCAAUACAAUGCGAAUGAGUUUUCCCUGUGCCGCAAAUAUAAUAAAGCCUUAAUAAAGGCAUAAAGAUGUGGAAAUGUGUAAAAGCGGCAGACAUUUGAAAUAAGUAAUUUCUUAUCUCAGCUGCACAAAUGUAGGAUUUCUUACAAAUACAACAGGCAGCUGUGAGGACAAAAGACUGGGAACAGGUAGGCACUGUGCAUCUUUGGCAAAGCUUUGCACAAAGUGAACAAGAGCAUGGUCAUGCAUCCAAUGCUCUGGAAGCCUUCGGACCAUUUGCUGUUUCAAAGAGCAGCAGGAAGAAAGCACUCUGAGCAAUUUGCCCAAUGUCACAGCGCCUGAAUACAAAAGCUACAGAGUGACAUAAAUUCAAGUGCCUUGGAAAAAAAGACACGUUUUAUUGGCUUUACUAUGAAUGCAGCUUUGAGUAAUGAUAGGUGAGACUCAAUUCAGACAUUACAAAGGUGGGGGCGAAAUCCACAUUGGGGUCCCAGGAUCAAGCCCAUCCCUCCUCGGGAGCAUGAGUGUUCUCCCACAUCCAUGCGCCAGACACGAGUGAGGUGUACACAGACAGCGGUUGCUGAGGAUCAGGGUUUGUUGACAUUUACCCUACCACCCUAGGUGCUCCACUAAAGUAGCCUGCUUGUAAAACUAAUUGCUUGUUGAACUAAUGUGAGAUCCACAUUAAACCAUACGGGUACAACGGUUGUAUUAGCACAAGUACCAUCUGAACAAUGCCAUAGUAGAUAGCGCAUGCAGUGGCUGUCAGGAGUCACCUAAGUAUAUUUUUGAUAUUAAGUCUAAUUAAGUCCUACUCAGAGUAGACCCCCUUAAAACUAAGUUAGCUAGGCCUAUGAAUUUCAAUGGUUCUACUGGCAUUGCUUUUAUAUUCCCCCCCUUUCAUUAUUUUUCUGAGUGAAAUUAGCGUUUAACAUAGAGAAUGGAUAUAAUGUAAAAACACAGAUAAAGACACAUUUUCUGUGUUUUUAGGUUAUAUGUACUCUCUCUCUCAUAACCCCCUAAUUCACUGUCACAAGAAGUGGUGAUGGGCAGUAGCUCAGAUGGUUUUUAAAAAGUGAUUAGACGAAUUCCUAGAGAUAGUUCCUUACUGGUUACUAACUGAUAGCCACUAGCUACAAUGGCUUAAUGAAAUCUGCAUUUUAAUACCACUUGUUGGAGCACAAUAGUACAGUAUAUUUAUUUAUUGCUUCCCAUGAGGCAACCCAAAGUGAUUUGCAAUAUAAUAGCAUACUGUAUAUGAAACAUUCACACAAACUUAAAACAAUCACAUGUAUAAAAACAUUUUUUAAAAUAAAUAUAAAUAUAAAAACAGUUUAAAACAGCAGUACAUACAUAAAAUCAACUCAAGUUCAAGACAGAUACCUACUGAGAUGAACUGAGAGCUUGUUGAAGGAACAACAACAACAACAACAAUUUAUUACUUAUACCUCACCCAUCUGGCCAGGCCUCCCCAGCCACUCUGGGCGGCUUCCAACAGAAUAUUAAAAACAUGAUAAAACAUCAACUGUAUUCAGCAUGUGCCAAACCAGCAGCAACAAUGGGGAAGGUGCCUGUCCAUCUCUACCACUUACCACUUCGGGGUAUCUCAGGGUUGAUAACAUGUGAAAAUUGCUUAGAACACCAAACGCUUUUGUAAGGGAACUGACAUCGGAGUGAGAGGCGAAGGGGAGGCUCCUAGAUGAUGCUGGUGAAGGACCCAGCAGCAGGGGGAGAAACAGCUCAGUGGAGGGGGAAGCAAAUCAGCGCAACACCAGGGAUAAAGGGGGGCAGAUGGGGAAUCGGAGAGAGGGCUCCAGGACUCUUCACUGGACCUCAGUGAGGAGGGGACAGGUCCUCCGCUACCCACGCCCUCCCUGCGCAGAAGACUCCCGCGCAGUGAGAGGAGGAGGAGACUGGGUGUCAAACAACUUUUAUGUUGGAAGAGGUUCAAGAAACGCCCACUGAUGGAUUCUGCCAGCAACUGAGGCAGCCACGAUGAGAAAGGGCUGUGCAGUCAGAAAGGUUUAACAAGGCAAAUUAGCCUAGAGAGGCACCAGUUUACGCACGAGUAACUCAUACCCUACGCUACAGCUUUAAAUAUUUAAAUGGAAAACCUGGAGCCCCAAGAAAAGUAAAAUCUUUUUUCUUUCCUGCCCACACCGCUGCUGUGUGCGGAUGGUGACUAUUUCCCAAGCAACUGCUACAAUAAAUAAAGCCCAUAAGUGGCGUGACAGGCAGCCUUUUUCUCCCUCCAGCCUGGCAAAUAGCUGCUUGGCAUGCUUUAAAUAUGAGUCCUGCAGAGUAACAGCUUUUAGUAUGAAGGGAAAAAUGCUGAGCAGCAGUCAAUUUCCAGACUAAAUGAGACAUAAAGGUCAUGAGGAGGAAUGGGAAAAUAGUAAAGCUGCUUUUACCUAAAUAAAUAAAGAUCUGAAUCAGCCAUAAUCAAGGGAUGCAUUGUGCAGCAGCUGUACAGUUGCAUUAAGUGGUUCCUCCAAGAACUACUCCAGAAAACUAUUUCGUUGAACCCUAAUGGCAGCCAUUAUGUUAUCCUAAUUAUGUUUUUCCCUCAACCCCCUCCUCCCCCUUUUAAAAAAAGUACAUAUCUGCAUUUAACAUAAAAUAGUAUAUUGAAAACUUGCCUCAACUCAGAGGUGGCCUCGUCCCCUGCAGCAUAUGGGGAAAUGACAUUAUUAAGUAUAAUGGCUGGGUUACAGAUUCAGCUAGAAAAACAUGCCUAAAUUUUAAGAAAGACAAUUGUGAGCUGUUACCAUAAGAAACAGCUGGAGAAUGCACCAUCCAGUUACUUUUCUGAAUUUCGUGCCACUUUCAACGUUGUUAAUGCCUGAAUGACAUGGGCGUGUGUGGCAGUAGGCUUGGAUUUUGUCCGACUAACUUAAUUAGGAGUGACACCUCAAUCCUAAAUGCAAACCCAAGCUAGACAUUAGCUGGGGCAUCAGGCAAACUCCGUAUUCAAAUUCAAGUUCAAAGUUAGUGUUAAUCCUGCUGGUAUCUAAGAUGGGAUGUUUAGAUUUCAGACAGUUUUAUAUUAAGCAUCUUUCUUUGAAGCAAUUUUCAAUGGUAUUCAGGAGAAAUUUAGUGGACACAGAUCAUUUCACCAGUCCAAGGAUCUCUAUUUUCCUCAUUAUGAAAGUAAAUUAUAUGGCUAAGCUUCUCUGGCUAAUCGCUGAAGAACUCAGUGGAAUUAGCAUAUUCACAACCAUAAUUCUGCUUCUGACUUCUACCAACUUUGGAAUAUUAGAAGCGCAUAUGAUGUACUAUGAUGACGCACAUCCUGCCCCCCUCUCUCCUUGUCUGGCAUGAUUGGGAAAAAUCCAUAUCUUGGUUUCAACUAACCACAGUUUAUCACUGCAGUCAAACCAAGCCAAACUAUGCUUAAACUAUGGUUUGUUUAAAUUAGCCAGGAUCUUUCCAUCAACAGUGGAAAGUUGAUAAUGUUCUGUUAAAUAUAAUGACCUCCACUUUCAUAUUUUAAAUUGCUCUUAAUCUGUAUAUUGUGAUAUUGCUUUAAGGUUUUUUUAAAUUAAAGAUUUAAAAAAUUAAACUAUUAAGUCACCUUGGGGCCCUUUCUGAGCCAAAAGUUGACUCAUGUUUGGUCUUCAGAUCUUAGAUGCUACUGAGUACACAUUCUGCUAUGAAUUUCCUUAUGGAGAUAAGAAAUCUGCAGCUCUUAGAAACAAAACACCACUGCAGAUAAAAUAAUAAAUGCAUUAAUUUGGGGUCCACUUCCCCUUGCCUUCUAAGUACAGAGGUACCUCAGGUUAAGUACUUAAUUUGUUCCAGAGGUCUGUUCUUAACCUGAAGCACCACUUUAGCUAAUGGGGCCUCCUGCUGCUGCUGCCACCGGAGCACGAUUUCUGUUCUCAUCCUGAAGCAAAGUUCUUAACCUGAAGCACUAUUUCUGGGUGAGCGGAGUGUGUAACCUGAAGUGUAUGUAACCUGAAGCGUAUGUAACCCGAGGUACCACUGUACUGUGUUUUAGGCUGCUACGUGGUCAAGCUUAUCCUUGCUAUCAUGAGGGCUGAAGAUGACUACCAUUUCAACAGUUGCCCAAGGGUUAAGCACAACCGUGUGGGGAGAGCAGGCAGUCCCCUAGCUCGUAUAUUGCCUGGGCCUGACCCAUCACAUCAGUGUGAAAGUCGCUAAUAUAUAUCUGCGCACAUUGCUACAUAAAGUGAUAUAGAACUGCAGUGUCGUUUCAUGAAAUAUUUCCGUUCAUGCAUAAUUCUAUUCCAGCAAGCACCCCAUUGACGUCAAUGAGACUUUGCAUAGCUAGAUUAAAGAGCUGCCUUCAGCUGACUCCGGUGGGCUCUGGGUCUAGCAAUCUGUAUUUGUAUUCCUUGCUAUAUUGCAUGCAAUUUCAGAGGGAAUAAGCAUGAAAUUACAAUAAAAAUAUGACGCUGCAGAUUCCUGAACUUCGGCACCCUUCCAAUUAAUUGAAUGUGAGUUGUAACAGAAAGAAGCUCUUCAAAUUUAAGCUCUGUGCCAAGUAUAGCUGCUUCAUGAGCAUGGUUUUAAGUCCUCUUCCAACACCGUGGCUAUUAAUUUAGUUAACGUUCUAUCAUUAUAAAACCAGGCCACUUUUGAGGCUUUCUAAUAAUGAACUAAGUGAAAUUCUUUGCUAGUUUUCAACUGGGGUGGUAAUAGUGGCAAAUGGCCUGAAUAAAAUAUUUAAAUAGAUACAGAUAUAUAGACAGAUUUUCUGUAGUGAGUCAUAUCAACAGGAUAUAUCAUACUGCUUCUGGCAUUGUUAGUGCUUUCCGCCCCAAAGCAUUUUACAAACUCAAAAGUAACAUUUCUGAAUAAUUCUAAAGACUACGUGAUAGCAAAUGCCGGUAUGAAACAAAAUCCCUAACACUGUCUAUGUAACCUAGACUGUGAAUAUAUUUUCUUACUGAUAGUAGUAUGACAAUGAACCUAAGGUGUUCUUAAAAAAGAGCAGAGUCAGAAUUCAAAAAGCUGUAUAAAGGACAGAAUCUGUCCUGCCUUUCAUUUCAGCUAUUAUUUGAAGUUGGCUUGUUUGGAAACUAUUCAUAACUAGUGUUCAACCACAAUUCCUGGUCUGGAUUAAAUUGUGAGCCACAGAUAACUAAAAACAGAAGUGGAAGCUUGACGGGAAGAGAAGAAGCAGGGAGGAGGGAGCUAAGUUUGUUCCCAUAGUAUUGAGCAAUGGUUAAGUAUUAUGUCUAAAUGUGGCCAUACAAUACAACAAUGCAACUAGAUAGCAGAGCACUUUCAUUUCACUUGAGAGGCUGUAUUUGUGUUGACAACAUCUCCAGAAUGGCGAGAAGCUUACAAUAAUUCUGAAAAAUACCUUCUGAGGCUAUGAAAGGAAUAGCCUAAUUAUAAAGCACUUCAUCUUUAGUGAAGGUAUUUCCAAAAUAAUGGAUUAAAACCCAUAUACUGAGGCUAUAGCCCUAUACAUACAUACUUACCUGUUAAGUCCCAUUGAAAUAAGUGGGGCUUACCUCUGAAGAGACAUGAACAUGAUUCAGCUGCUGUGGGAGGGAUAUUGCCUACUACUUGUGCCCUUCCAUAAAAUGCCAUUGUUGAAAAGGAGAAGAUCUAAUAGGAGCCGAGUCUUCUUACAUAAAACAAACCAAACAAAACACAAAUGUGUGUCUUGUUCUCAAAGAUGGACAGAUAAUUUUUCAAAGAGCAUUCUUUCCCACAAGAGGUGGUCCUUGCCAGUGAGCAAGAUGCCAAGUCUGCCUAAAACUACUGAUGCCCAGUAUUGCUAUCACUCUUUUACGCGCCUUUCAGCCAAGCCAGAUGAAAACAAAAGCAGUAGCUUGGGAACACAAAAAGACACAGCCUAUUUCUUUUAAAGCAAAACACUUACCAGCUGGUUGCAGGGGGGGGGGACAGGAAUGGGGGGAAGACUUGAAAAUAUAGCUGAUAUAUGACAGGGCUGGGUGGGUACCAGGUGUCAUAGAACUGAAUCCAGGUAAAGCUGAACCAAACCUUAGGGCAAGGUGCAGCACCCAUCAUCCUUCACUACUGGCCAAGAUGGCUGUGACUGAUGGGAACGGGAGUCCAAAAACGCCUGGAGGGUCACAGGUUUCUCACUCUGGGACUGAUUUACUGUCCCUGAUCUUUCAUCCUUGUACCACCAUAAAAUACUGCUGUCCUAGUUUUACUGGGCUGUUUUGCCAUUUCAAAAGGGGCACUGUCUCAUGUGUUUCCGGGCAGCCUUCUAGUCAAAUGCUCUUUCCCUGCCAAAUCUCAUUUUUCAAACACAAUGCCAUGCCCCCUCUAGGGCAUACACACAUGCAAUUCAGUUUCUCAGCUCAGCCCUAAAUUUCUCCCUUCCCAAAACCCAGAGGCAUUUAAAGUGGGAAAUCAGCUGGCCAGACCAGUGCCAUAUCAUUAACAACAGACCACCCAACAGCCUGCUGUGAGAGAUGUGUGGAGCACUUUGAGGGCAAAUCACUUGAAUCCACGACAAACUUGAUGCCACAAUUAGUUUGGGCCUGUUGGAGGUCCUUGUAGCACCAUUAACUUAGAACCUGUGGAUCCCUUUCAGUUGUGGAAGCCUGAAGCUUUCAGUGGUGGGACUGACUACAAGCGCUUCUUGAAGAGGUCUUCCCUGCAUCCAAAGAUUUGAGAGAACUAUCAUCCAGUCUCUAAUAUUCCCUUCCUGGGCAAGGAGACUGAGAAGGUGGUGGCCAUCCAGCUACCGGUACGCCUGGCGGAAUCAGAUUCUCUGGAUCAGCCUUUCUCAGCCUUGGAUCACCAGAAGUUGUUGGACCACAACUCCCAUCGUUCCUAGUUAGCAGGACCAGUGAUCAGGGAUGAUGGGAAUUGUAGUCCAACAACAUCUGGGGACUAAAAAGUUGAGAAAGGCUUCUCUAGACCCAUUUCAGUCUGGUUUCAGGCCCAGUUUUAGAACAAAAAUAGCCCUGGUCACCAUGACUGAUGACUUUUAUCAGGAUAGGCAGGGGAAGUAUGACUGUUGGUUCUUCUUCAUCUCUCAGUGGCUUAUGGGGUAUGAUAAAUUGGAUGCACUGUAUGUGAAGGUGUGGUUAUACAGGAAAGUUCAGGGUCAUUAUCAGAUAGUAGCAAAGGGUAAAAGGACCCCUGACUCUGGGGUUGCGGCACUCAUCUUGCUUUAUUGGCCAAGGGAUCCGGCAUACAGCUUCCGGGUCAUGUGGCCAGCAUGACUAAGUCGCUUCUGGCGAACCAGAGCAGCGCACGGAAACGCCAUUUACCUUCCUGCCAGAGCGAUACCUAUUUAUCUACUUGCACUUUGACGUGCUUUUGAACUGCUAGGUUGGCAGGAGCAGGGACUGAGCAAUGGGAGCUCACUCCGCUGCAGGGAUUCAAACCGCCAACCUUCCUAUCAGCAAGCCCUAGGCUCAGUGGUUUAGACCACAGCGCCACCCAUGUCACCAGAAAGUAGUACUAGGAGACAAAUGUACUAUGUGGCUUUGAGCUGGUGGGUCCCAGAAGGGUCCAUUUUGUCUCCUAUGCUUUUCAACUUCUAUGCGAAGCAAUUGCAAGCUUACUUUUAAAUCCUUUAUUAGGCAUAGCACACCACACAGUAACAAACAAACAUCAUAUACAGACUGUAUAAAAUACGGGCUCAGCGAACACAAUUUAUCCCAGUCCUAUUCUUAACUCCAAGAAAUAAAUCGAUGUACAUAGAUAAUAUAAUACAACAACACAGCAACAUCACCUACCAUUAAAAACCACUAAGUCUCUUUAUCAUGGCCCAUUCUUUCUUCAUGGACAGCACUUAAAAAUUCAGCCACUAUUAUAGUGGUUUGAUCAUCGCUGUCCGCCAGCAGGUCCUGAACAGUUGGUUGAGUAAAAAUCUGUCUAUUAACUUUUAGGGCCUCAAAUAAUUGUUUUCUGGCAUAACUACCAAAAUCACAGGAAAAGAAUAUAUGCUCUAGAGUAUCGCAAGCUGUCACCUGUGGUUUGGAGCCCAGUGUUAUUGGUAUGCUGAUGAUGCACAGCUCUAGCUGUCCGUUCCAUCUGAAUCAGGAAAGACUCUGGAGAUGUUGGACUGCUAGAAGCAGUGGUGGGCUGAAUAAAGUGAACCCUGACAGCAAACAUAUUCUCUGGGUGGGCUGUUCCUGUGUCUAGAAUUAGGUGGCAGGUGCUCUGUAUGGGGAGUUGGCAUAAGGCACCAGGCCCAUUGGCAGACCAACUCUGCAUUACAAAAGUGUCUGCAAAUGUGACAUGAAGGCUGGCAGCAACAUCAGUCCCGCCAUGUGGGAAUCCCUUGCAGAUCAGCCGCAGUGCCUGGAGACAGACAGUCAGGCUGUUUAUCCAUAGCAGCGACCAGAGAAGAAUGACCACUGGGAAGAGUGCAGAAAGUAGAAAUGUCCUGGUGCAUCUGCAGCUGCACAACCAGAAGCCUUCAUCUGCCCCAGCUGCAACAAAACAUGCCUCUCCCGUAUCGUUCUCUACAGCCAUAGCAGGUGCUGUAACCUUCCAACAGUUUGAUUUCACCCCCAAAGGCACACUCCUCCAUUAUCUCCAGAGAAAGAUGGAUGCCUUCUAUCUAUCUAUCUAUCUAUCUAUCUAUCUAUCUAUCUAUCUCUAUACAGUGGUAAAGGUAAAGGUACCCCUAACCAUUAGGGUCCAGUCACGGACGACUUUGGGGUUGCACAUUCAUCUUGCUCUAUAGGCCGAGGGAGCCGGCGUUUGUCCACAGACAGCUUCCAGGUCAUGUGGCCAGCAUGACUAAGCCGCUUCUGGUGAACCAGAGCAGUGCACAGAAACACUGUUUACCUUCCCGCCAGAGCGGUACCUAUUUAUCUACUUGCACUUUGACGUGCUUUCGAACUGCUAGGUUGGCAGGAGCUGGGACUGAACAAUGGGAGCUCACCCCGUCAUGGGGAUUUGAACCACCGGCCUUCUAAUCGGCAAGCCCUAGGCUCUGUGGUUUACACCACAGUGCCACCCGCGUCCCUAUACAGUGGUACCUCGGGUUAAUAACUUAAUUCAUUCUGGAGGUCCGUUCUUAACCUGAAACCAUUCUUAACCUGAGGUACCACUUUAGCUAAUGGGGGCCUCCUACCGUGCUGCCACCGUGCGAUUUCUGUUCUCAUCCUGAAGCAAAGUUCUUAACCCAAGGUACUAUUUCUGGGUUAGCGGAGUCUGUAAACUGAAGUGUCUGUAGCCUGAAGCAACUGUAACCUAUAUCUUCUGCAUAAUGCCCCAUUUUUUUCAUUUGUUUAAAUCACCUUUUCACUGCUCAUGGGUUCAUUCAUCUUCUCCAGCAACUGAUAAAACUACUUUCCCUUCCAUCUUAUUUUUAAGUGCAAACCUAAAGUACUAAAUAUUUUAUUUUGUUUUGUAAUUAGUUUCAUAUAUAUAUAUAUAUAUCUACAUCUAUGAAUAGAAAUGGAAAUAUCAGGCUUCUUUCCCUGCAGCAAUCCCAUGUCCAUUAAAUACACAGCCCCCUGCUCUCCUUCAUUAUGCUUACAUAGUUAUUCAUGGAGGCAGGAUAGAAGGUAUAGCCAAAUAACAGUGGGUGGAAUGUCAUUCCCGUCAUUUUUCAACAAAAACUGUCUGUGUAUAUUUGUUUCUCAGAUUGAAGGCAGCACAAGACCUGUUAAAAUUUCUCCAAAUCAGCUGUUUCACGGGGGGGGGGGGAAUUGCAGGCUUGGAUUCAUGAAAUGUUCUGGAUGUAUCAGUAACAGAGUUGGAAUAUAUAGGAUUAAUAAAUCAAAUGCACACCAAGAUUGGGUUGUGCAUGGGUCUCAUAGGACUGAUGACUCAGUAUCUUAACUAUUUUUAGCACCAUUUAUUUGGCAGUUAAUUGUCAUUUCUGGAACACGGUCUGCAAGUAUUUUCAUGUUUUGCUUACAAAAAAUAUUCAGCAGGUAGUUCAUCCCAAUGCUGUGCAAGGAUUGCAUGCCAUGGGCUAAACUACUCUACAUGCAGUGCACAAGUUUGCUGCAGAGGAUACACUCCAAUAAGGUGCUGGGUGUUUCCUACAUGAAAUUAGGCAUGUGAUGACUAGAGGCUUGAUGAAUCUUCUCUGUACAGGUGUCCUGGCUCCAGAAUGUGUACCUUAGGGCCAGGUACCUGAUGCAUAUAUUUUUAUAUUUGAAAAGGAAGGCUAGUGCGGCUCUACACCUCCCCAGCUUUCUGAGUUCCUGUUCAUUUUGAAGCCAUUUCCCAUACAAAAUAGCACAUUUUCCCAGACUGCGAUCUCUUGCGGUGCUCCAAAACAUGCAUUUUAGGGUGCCUUACCCCCCAAAAGCACUUGGGGGGCGGGAACUACAGCAUGAAAUCACGCAAGAUCACAGUAACCAAAAUGGCUGGCAUGCUCUUUCGAUGCAAAAUGGGGUCUCCCAGUUUUUACAGGACACUUGUGGGAAAUUCCAUAGUUUAUGCACUGUAUGAAGAAGUACUAUCUCAUAAGGCAAUGAAAAGCCAUCUCCCUGACUUGGCUGUGAAUGACUUUCUCCAAAAUUCUCACAGCCAGGUAUGUGUUUAUAAUUAUAUAAACACUGCUGAUUUCAACGGACUGGGCUAUAUUUAACAAAUUACAAAACGAUACAGAUAUAUUUAUACACCAGCCCACAGGAAAUUCUCUCUUGAUAUAUUGUGGCCUGGUUCAUACACCUGGUAGGUCCCAGACAAUCAUUCAUGGAAUAGCUUGUGGCUGUUGAUAAGACUGCAGCCCAGUGUGUAUCAUAGGUGCCAACUCUAUGAACUGCUUUGGAUUCUACAUUUUAUCGUUGUUUGGUGUACAAGUUGUCAUGUGACCUCAGUGCUUCUGGAUAGGGAAGCUUGUAAAUCUAAUUGAUAAUUCAUUAGAUCAUCAACUGCUGGGUUAAAUGGGCUCAUAAAGACCACUCAAGUUUUGUUUUUUUUAGUCUGCAUAAAUAGGCUACUUAAAAAACAACCUUGAAUAUUCGACUUAUUUGCUAGUCUUGCUUGGAACCAAUUAUGCACUGUGGAUCUUCCUUUCUUUCAGAAAUGAGAAAGCAACUGUUACAAACAUGUCACACGACUAGCGCUGUCUAGAGAUUCAAAACUGUAGUGAUGAACUGAUUCACCCUAGAGAUUACAGGCUCUGCUAACAGGGUUGGAAUGUUUUUCUUCCAUGAGCCACUGCGAGCAGGAGACACUAAAAAGAAGUGUUUGGGCAGGGGUAUAAAAUGUGGACAGGGGGGAAUGGCUCUACUGCCACAUCAGGUAUAUGUCGAACUCUUACUAAAAGUAUUCUUUAUUGCCUGCCCCACACAUUGUGUGUUUUCUAGGCCUGUCAUGAUUUAGAAAGCUCCUGCAGGGCUCCUGUACUUCCCAAGAGGUUGUGCAAUAGAGUGCGUUGUCCAAAAUAAUUAUCUGUAACCACCAUUUUACCUGAGGCCGUAUGUCAUUCUCUGCUCACUAGGUACUUGGAGACUGUGUCUAAUUUGGACCUGAAGGCAGGCGAACGUGAAUAAUACUUACAGAGAUAAAACAGGAUGAAAGCCACCGUGGAACUAAUUUAUUAGUUUUAAAGGACAUCAGCCAAAGAAACUGUAGUAAGUCCUUUGUUAUUUAUUCCAAGGACUUUAAUGUUUCCCUGUGUUGGAUUUCUUAGCUUUUUUGUUUUUGUUUCUUUUAACAGGGAAUUAUGAAUAUAUUUAGUAGCUUUAAAAUAUUCCUGCAAAAAGUUAGACCUUACAAUGUACUUGUGUUAAAUUCUACAUUAUCGUGUGAUCUUGCAUCAGUGGAAUUGGCUACAAGUGGAUUUACAACAGAAAAAAAGUUGUGGGAUCAGGAGAUGAACCAAACCCUACAGGCAACCUAUUUCAAUGCCUUGUCUAGUACCUCUAAAAAGCAGACAUGCCUCCCUCGUGCAUAAUAAGAAAUGAGAAAUUAACCACUAAAAUAAAUUCCAUUAGUCACGCUGUCCCCUUAUCAUUAAACCAUGUAAUCACAUAAUGUUAACUUACACCCUAAAUCAUUCUGAAAAUAUUUGUUACAAUUCAGGAGUGUCUAAAAGGGACGUGGGUGGCGCUGUGGGUUAAACCACAGAGCCUAGGACUUGCCGAUCAGAAAGUCGGCGGUUUGAAUCCCCGCGGCGGGGUGAGCUCCCGUUGCUUGGUCCCUGCUCCUGCCAACCAAGCAGUUCGAAAGCACGUCAAAGUGCAAGUAGAUAAAUAGGUACCGCUCCGGCGGGAAGGUAAACGGCAUUUCCGUGCGCUGCUCUGGUUCGCCAGAAGCGGCUUAGUCAUGCUGGCCACAUGACCCAGAAGCUGUACACCAGCUCCCUCGGCCAAUAAAGCGAGAUGAGCGCCGCAACCCCAGAGUCAGACACGACUGGACCUAAUGGUCAGAGGUCCCUUUACCUUUACCUUUUAAUGGGUGCAGGUGCUCUGAUGGGCACAACUAAGGAUACAGAAUCCAAGGCCACUUCAGUCACUUUAAUGGAGGAAAGUAGAUAUUUUGAAUAAAAUAGGCCAGAUCGCACACAAGAGAGGUGGAAACAGUGGGGAAACGUCACGAUGAAAACAGCUUUUUGGAUCAAGACAAAUGCCACUGAAAUGUGAAACAGAGUGAAAUCAGCAGAACCACUUCAAAAUAAUGUGUUUAGGUUAAGGAUCCGUUGCUCCACAUGAUGUUGGCUACACCACUUAGCCAUUCAGGCAUACUGUGGUCUUCAAGAGAUUCUUUGCGUGCCUUUUGUUUGAAAAUUACCUUGAAAAUUAUGUUUGUCUCUCAAAAGCCACUGCAAAAAUAUGACAGCUACAAGAACAAUAAUUGCAAGGUGCAGUCAUUGCUUUAGGAGUCAUUACCUUUCAAGUAAAUGUUGGCUCACAUCCUUUAAUACACAUAGUGAAGCCUUAAACUCUCAUGGGUCAUCCUUAUGGCUCUCCACUGAGGCAGCAGCCUAUUGGAUUAGGAACUCUUAGCAGUCCUUCAUAAGCAGCUGCUGCCUGCCCCCAUGGAAGGGUCAAUUAAUGCUGCACAAGCACACUUAUGCCAUUGAUUCAGGGACAGGGAGAGAGAGAGAGAGAGAGAGAGAGAGAGGGAGCGAGAGAGAGAGCAGGGUCUUGGAUUAUGGCAGCAAAGAAGGUUACUCGCAAACCAAGCAAACUUGGCAGGAACAUGAUGAGAAUUUAGCUGCAAAACCGCCAGCAACUGCAGCUGUAAAUAAAACUGAUUCACUGGCUGGAGCUGUGAACCUGUUGCGGUGGCCAGCACAAUUCUGAUAUCCCAAUAACAAAAGUCCAAUCAAUGUAACUAUAAAUAAAGAUAUCUGUCAGGCCCUGGAUGAACAUGGAUGGUCACUUGCAAAGCAUUAAUUUAAAACACAGUAUAUAUAUCAUUGUGGGAAGAGCCAGUUCUCUGCUGUGUCCACCCAUUGAGGGAAAUUCUAACACCUCUCAGAUGGAUACAGAUAUGUGGUAAAUUUCUCCUCGCUGCCUGGGUUCUCUGCGUGGUUUGCCUUCUGCGGUAAAGUACUUCUUGGCAAAUUGUUAGUAUUCACCCUUAAUUAAUCUGUAUUUUCUCUUGGUAAUAGUAAUUCCUAAUACUUACUACUCACAUAUUGCUUUUAAUAGGCACUCUACACUUUUCACUCACAUAAGUUUAGUCCCAGAAACAUCCCUGUAUUUAUUUAUUUGCAUAAUUCAUAUUUCACAUUCUCAUGACAGAUUUAUGUCCCCAGGGCACUUAGAAGAUAGUGAGAAACCAAAAGUAAAAAAUUAUAAGCUACUACUGAUAGAAUGAAAAUGCAAACUAUUGCAGCAAAUUAAAACAGCUGCUCUGCGUUAAAUAAUGCUUACAUUAACAAUUAAUAAAAGCCUGGGAGUUUGUUUUUUAAAAAUGUUUCUCUGGUGCCUAAAUGACAGUAAUGAGGUCUCUAGGUGAGUCUUGGGGUGUGUGUGUGUGUGUGAGAGAGAGUAUUUUCCAAAAGUGAGGAGCCACCACAGGAAAGGCUCUCUCCAGGCAUCACCUACUGAACUUAAGAGGGAGGGAGCACCCAGAGGAAGGAGGCCUCAGAUGCCUCUCUUAAUGGACAGGCAGAUUGAUAGGGAAGAAGGCAGUCCAGCAACUAUAUGGUACGGUAGACUAUAUGGUACGGUAGACAUUAUUAUUAUCACCUCCAUAUUACAGAUGAGAGCAGCAAGACAGAGGUUGCCAGUGAGGUCAUGCCUAAAGCCAGGUCUGAACAAGUGCCUAUUCUUAAUCUAACUGCACACAUUAGCUUGCAGUUUUCUCCAAUUUAUUUACUGAGCUACAUAGACCAAUGGACUCAGUAUAAGGCGGCAUUGUAUGCUCCUUCCUACGUAAUUUUAAAGCUAAAAAUAGGUAUAUAUAAACAAGUUGCUAUACAUCAGUAGAAAAAUGCUAUGAAAGCCAUUCAGUGAAAUUUGUGGCUUCUGGGCAGCAAACCAACAUACUAAUGCCUACAGGGCUUCACAAUUCUUGGAUGAAUUUUAUGGGUCACCAGACAGGAUAAGGCUUUCUGAACUAAGUUCUUAACAACCGUAUUUCAUUUUACCUCAUUAUUUUGUCUUGCAUAUUAUCAUGUGCUAUCUAAGCCAUCCUCCCCACCCAAAAUCCUAAAAUAUCUCAUGCCAGCAACUUAGAAGUAUGUAGAAUUUGUACAGAUUAGAAAAAGGCUCACCCACAGAAAGGUAUACUGAGAAGUUGGAAAUAGUUGUUGGGGUUGUAAUGUACACUGAGGUUCACUAGGGUGCCAUCUGUGUGAGCUGGGGAUGUCAUGUGAAUGGAAUGAAAUUAUUUACUGUGUUUUGAAAUACUUUUCUUACAGAUAAUUUCGACGACUUUCCUACCUGAGGAGAAGUGUGUCUUCACUAUGUGGUUGUUGGGGUUUUUUUCUUUCCUGUGGUGUGUGUGUGUGUGUGUGUGUGUGUGUAUGUAUAGCAGCUGGUGUGUAACUAGCUGGUUCUCUGUUAAGUAGCAUUCCCAUCCUUCAUUUUCAUUCUCUUGCUCGAAGUCACAACCUCCCAAAGCUGCUUUUUCUUUAAAAACACAACAUAAAUCUGCACACCACGCAUAGUUUGUCUUUGACAUAUACACACAGUAAAUAUGUACCCCCCAAAAAAAUCCUCACUCAUUGUUUCCCACACAGAAACUGUAAUAUUAUUUAUUAGGUGAUUUAAAUAAGAGGUCAAUUAAUGAGCUUACUGAAUGCCCUAUUUAUAUACUAUAGUCUCCAAGUUGUGAAUUAUAAAGUUAGAAGAUGCAACAAAUCUAAAAACUGGUUUGAAGUCCAUAUUGUGCUAUCGGUUUCAUAAUUUUUGAUCUGGCAAUAUAUUGCAAAUCUUGAUAUGUAUGUGUGUGUCCUAUGCAACAAUCAUGAUGCAGGAAAAACUGGGAAGCCGGCCAAUGCCUCUACAUAGCUCCAUCCUUAUUUCUGACAUUGUGAUAUAUCAGUACAAUGUUUACCUGUUGAUAAAUUGUGAUGUUGAAAACUGGAUAUUGCCCAGCCCAUAACUCAGUAUCUAUGCCAACCAGGAAUCACCAACGUGGCACCUACGGGUGCACAUACACCCAUGAAGGCCUUCUCUUGCACCCUCAUGAAUUAGAUUUGGGGGAAAAACAUUCUGUUGUAGC